GCUAUCCACUUCUGGUGCAAUCAACUCCCAUGGUGUGACGGGCGGUGUGUACAAGGCCCGGGAACGUAUUCACCGCGGCAUUCUGAUCCGCGAUUACUAGCGAUUCCUACUUCAUGGAGUCGAGUUGCAGACUCCAAUCUGGACUACGAUAGGCUUUUUGAGAUUCGCAUCACAUCGCUGUGUAGCUGCCCUCUGUACCUACCAUUGUAGCACGUGUGUAGCCCUGGUCGUAAGGGCCAUGAUGACUUGAUAUCGUCCCCGCCUUCCUCCAGUUUGUCACUGGCAGUAUCCUUAGAGUUCCCGGCUUAACCCGCUGGUAACUAAGGACAAGGGUUGCGCUCGUUGCGGGACUUAACCCAACAUCUCACGACACGAGCUGACGACAGCCAUGCAGCACCUGUAUUCUAAUUCCCGAAGGCACUCCCGCAUCUCUGCAGGAUUCUAGAUAUGUCAAGACCAGGUAAGGUUCUUCGCGUUGCAUCGAAUUAAACCACAUGCUCCACCGCUUGUGCGGGCCCCCGUCAAUUCAUUUGAGUUUUAACCUUGCGGCCGUACUCCCCAGGCGGUCUACUUAUUGCGUUAGCUGCGUCACUAAGUCCUCAAGGGACCCAACGACUAGUAGACAUCGUUUACGGCGUGGACUACCAGGGUAUCUAAUCCUGUUUGCUACCCACGCUUUCGAGCCUCAGUGUCAGUAUGAUGCCAGGAAGCUGCCUUCGCCAUCGGUAUUCCUUCAGAAUCUCUACGCAUUUCACCGCUACACCUGAAAUUCUACUUCCCUCUCACCUACUCUAGCCUAACAGUUUCAGAUGCAGUUCCNAGGUUAAGCCCGGGGAUUUCACAUCUGACUUAUCAAGCCACCUACGCUCGCUUUACGCCCAGAAAUUCCGAUUAACGCUUGCACCCUCUGUAUUACCCGC
rnacentral:rRNA from 1 species